UACGUAGGGUGCAAGCGUUAAUCGGAAUUACUGGGCGUAAAGCGUGCGCAGGCGGUUAUGUAAGACAGAUGUGAAAUGCCCGGGCUUAACCUGGGAACUGCAUUUGUGACUGCAUGGCUAGAGUUUGGCAGAGGGGGGUAGAAUUCCACGUGUAGCAGUGAAAUGCGUAGAGAUGUGGAGGAACACCGAUGGCGAAGGCAGCCCCCUGGGCUAACACUGACGCUCAGGCACGAAAGCGUGGGGAGCAAACAGG
rnacentral:rRNA from 1 species